GUUGUGGCUCAGUGGUAGAGUGCUUGCCUAGCACGUGUGAGGUACUGGGUUCAACCCUAAGCAUCACA
rnacentral:tRNA from 1 species